GCAGUUGUUUGUGUGACGUGUGCAAACGUCACAAAAUCAAAAUGGCUACCAAAUCGACUAAUGAGAAUAAUGUUUUUAUGGCGUAUGGACUAUGGUCUACCGAUUAAAUAUGCCAACGAACUAAAUUUCGAUUAGAAAUAAUCGAAAACGUCUUCCUUUGUCAAUGCCAAAGAUAGUAGAUUUGAAUAACCAGUUGGACACAUUUGUUUGAAGUUGUGGAUCUUGAGACUCUGGAGCAACUCUCAUUGUGUCAUGAUGGUAGGGGACACAGGGCUGGCUUCUUUGUGGAGAUGGUUGUUGUCACAGAAAGGAGCGAGGACAAGUCACACAUAAGGCACGUGUUCCAGUGCGGCCCCUGGCUGGACUCGCACAACGAUAACUGCCACAUGGAGACGAUGCUGAGAAUGAUUGGUUGCUCAUGUACAGUGACUGUGAAGACUAGCGAGGGUAAAAGGACGGCCACCACAGGGAAGGUUCAAAUCACCAUGUAUGGCACCAGUGGCCACACUGCAGCCCUCCUCCUCUCAUCUUUAGAACCUGGGACUCUGGCAUUCACUUCCAGGGCCAAGUCUGAGUUCCAUAUCAGCACCGGGCAGGUUUGCCGAGUAACCAAGAUCCGACUAGAAUGUGACAACUCUGGCUCUAAACCUGACUGGAGGCUUGAUUAUGUGUGAAUGUAUGAUGAGGAUAGCAGUGAUAAGCUUAUGUACUUCGUCGACCACUGGCUUGCCCUUGACAAAGUUGAUGGUUCAAUCUGUAGAGGACUACCAGCAGUACGUAAAGGCACCCCUAGCCUGCCAGUGUUACGCUAUGUGGUUGCUGUGACAACAGGAAGUUGGAUGCUGGAGUGGACAGUGCAAAUUUUUAUACUCAAUCUGAUUGGUGUAGAUGUAGAUAUUGGCUUGAGGGAGGGUACCUCACUGGAGCCAUUUCUAAAAGUUGGGAAAAAAUGAAAAUGAAGUGACCUUCGGCAGUCUUGAUCAGAUCAAGAGAGCAUCAUGGAGAAACACCAGAGAAAGGGAAUUCAAGACAAAAAACACCAAAGGAUGUGCUUUCAAAGAAAGGUUGCAAAACAUGAAAGAAAAGAAUGAAAGCCUAGUGCAGUUCUUGAUGUCUAAGGAAGUCAAGGCCAACCUACUGAUUAUAUGCAAGGCAAACAGGCAAGCAAUCUUUACACUAUCUUCACUGGGCUGUCACAGAGAGCCAAGAGAGCCAUACAACAUAGUGGAUUUGGUCCUAUUGAUGAUGAUGAACAGGUGUGAGGUGCACUAAGGAGGAGAUUGAGGUCAUCAUUCAUAAGGAGUUUCAGGGCUAUCGAAAGGACAUACCAAAGUGAAUCCAUUUCAUGAUUAAUGUCGUAAUUUCCCUUUUUAACGGAGAGUGAAACUCAAGGAGGAUUUAAACCAGUUAAUAGCGCCAAACCUCAUGCUUGCCGGGCACCAAAAAUAUUAAAGGAAUGAUCAUUUGUGCAUUAUUAGCAGUGAAAUCAUUUUACAUUUAUCGAUGCUAAGGAAAUCAGUUUCUUACAUAUCAAAAAUGUAUUUAUUUUGUCUUUGCUCAUUGACAUAUAUUACCUAUUUUUCGGCAUGAAAUUUGAUUUUUUCUUAAAUCGUCCAUUCGUUGUUGCAUGUUUGCAUGGUUUAUAUGAUAAUAAACACCAUGCAUAAUUGUUUACCAUAUGAAUUGAAUUAAUUGAAGUUAAAGGCAAACAAGAAGGCAAACAAGGAAACAGGUACUUUUACUGUUUACCAUAACAGUGUGUGUGUGUGUGUGUGUGUGUGUGUGUGUGUGUGUGUGUGUGUGUGUGUGUGUGUGUGUGCUUCGUCUACCUUUUAUUCCUUUGUAUGUUAUCUGCCUCAAUUAAUUGAAGUUAAAGGCAAACAAGAAGGCAAACAAGGAAACAGGUACUUUUACUGUUUACCAUAACAGUGUGUGUGUGUGUGUGUGUGUGUGUGUGUGUGUGUGUGCUUCGUCUACCUUUUAUUCCUUUGUAUGUUAUCUGCCUCCUUUUAUCUGUGUGUGAGUGGGUGUGUAUAUAAGCACAUGUGCGUGCGUGAUCUCACUCUAAAUCGGUGUGUGUACAUGCUUGUUCUACCGCUAUAUUUCUCUUCGUGUUUCUUUGCCUGUGCUUAUGCAUGCUUCUUCUACCUCUCUAACUGGAGGUGUAUGUUCUAUUCCUCUGUUGUCCUUAGUGUGUCUGUUAUAUCUAUUUCUAUUCGUUCAUCUUUUUUUCUCCCUCUAUCUUCCUCAGUCUCGUGUUGCCAUUCACAGUCUAUCAUAUAUGUUAUAACUUGAUACCUGAUUGUAUAAAUAUUAUGUAUAAAACCAAUAAAAUGAUAUAACGUUGUA